AACGCGAAGAACCUUACCUGGGCUUGAACUACUGGUGGUAAGUCUUUGGAAACAUAGACUGACCCGCAAGGGAGCCAGCAGAGGUGCUGCAUGGUUGUCGUCAGCUCGUGUCGUGAGAUGUUGGGUUAAGUCCCGCAACGAGCGCAACCCCUAUCUCAUGUUGCUAAUCCCGCAAGGGAUGCACUUUUGAGAAACUGCCUUCGAUAAGAAGGAGGAAGGUGGGGACGACGUCAAAUCCUCAUGGCCCUUAUGUCCAGGGCUACACACGUGCUACAAUGGCCGGUACAACGGGAAGCAAUACCGCAAGGUGGAGCAAAACCCUGAAAGCCGGCCCCAGUUCAGAUCGUGGGCUGAAACUCGCCCACGUGAAGGCGGAAUCGCUAGUAAUCGCGAAUCAGCAGGUCGCGGUGAAUACGUUCCCGGGCCUUGUA
rnacentral:rRNA from 1 species